UAUUGUAACAAAUUCACAGCUAAAUGCACUUUGGUGAUACAUACGGAUCUGCUCAUUUGUUUUUUGAAAGCAGCUGUAUUGAAACUUUGCUCACAGAACUUUAUUUGAAAGUCAAAUUCCGCAAACAGUUGCAUAAAUAUGUUUGCACGAGUAUCUGAACCAGAAUGCCUAUGUGGCUUUGUUGAUUUUGGACAAAGCUCUUGGCAGGAAGGAUAACAACCCACCCACCCUCUUUGCAGCAGCAGCAGGAGGGUCACACAAGACACUGAGUGCUCAGUGCAGCCACUGCACCUGAAACCAGGAGUGGAGUGCAGAGCCUGAGGGGGACCACAGUAGCUGGGGAGACAUUAGGUAAGCCAGCCCUGCUACAGGAGGGAGAACAAAUGCUCAGCUCUGACCCUAAGGAAUUCUCCAGUGGAAGACAAGUUCUCAUCCUAACGGAAUCCAUUCCCUCCAUGCUUGUCAGGAAAACAUCCCCACCAGGGGCACAUCAUUCCAGCCCUCCUCUGAAAGCUCUGCAUCAUCUAAAACAUUCUCAUUUAGACAACUGCUUCAUUCCCAUGUGGCUCACUGAACAAGCCCCGAGUUCCAGUGUAGCCUGCAGAUGCUGCUGGGUCAGGAGCCUGUUUGCCUCUAGAAGAUGGAGCUUGCUGUUAGUACUGGAGCCGCUUUAAGAGACAGAAGCAGAAAUUUAUUUUUGCAUGAAGUACUGGGUGCAGGGAAAGAUAAAUAAUUGUUACAAGUCAUGAAGGUGAUGUGAGGCCUGCUGAAGGGGACGGAAAGAUUCCCAUCAAUUCCAGGGGGUCUUUCAUCAAGCUUGUCUCUCCCGCCUCUGCCAAACACAGUUUAAAUGAAUAAAACACUCAGUAUGUCUCUCAGUUAGCACGACAGUGGAAAUGCAUGCACCUUGAUUAAUGGCCAGGAAAUCUGGAUUGUGAAUGUGCAAUGUGAGUAUUUUAACAUCUUUUUUAAACUGAAAUUAUUGGGUAUCGUGUUCUUCAACACAUGCUUUAUUUUGCAUUUGGCAUCCAGUUAGAAUAACAGUGCACAGACAGGGAACAGAAAGAAAAAAAGAACACGAAGACUGAUAGGCAGGCGGACAGAUAUCUUCUGCUAAAUAAAAAAACGCAAACGACUAGUUAAAUCUGGUUGCUGUUCCCAUAAGUUACACUCAGAAAGCAUGUGCCCCUGGAUCAGUGCCUUUGAUGAGGUUUGCUGAGCACACUGUCUGAACUGUUGUCUUCGAGGCUGCUCACAACGCUAUUCCGGGCGCGGUGGACUUGCAAACCUCUCCAUGUGGAUCACAGAAGAUGCACCAGCACCAAGACUUCCCAGCGCUUGAAUGCGGCGUUUGUUCUGCAGCCCCAGGGGAAAGGCUCCUCACACCACCGCUGCGACUACUGUGCUGACCAGAGAGAGAGUUUGUCUUUAUCUGCUGCAGCUACUUUCAACAAUGUCUCUGCGGCAAGGUCAGAGGAAUGGAAAAAAUCCCUCAAAGAAAUAUGAAAGCUCACCUCAGAAGUGCCCUGGGAAACGUGGAGAACAAACACUUGGUUGUUCUCAUUUUGUUCUACUUUGGAUUGAGAUGACAGAACUGGAUGGCUUGUACUAAAAGAAGGAAACUGAAGGAGACAUCUUGUGAAUCGCUUGCUUAAGACGAAAAGACUUCUGCAAAACUACUCUUCGACUCUAAACUAGCCUGGUUAGAAAUCGAAGCAGCCAUCUAAACUAAACCUUUAUCCAGAUAUGCAGCAAGAAGUGCAGAUUAUGUUUGGAGAGAGAUUUUGGAAUAAUCUGCAGUUAAAAAUAUUGUAUGGGACCUUGCGCUGUGGCCUCAGAAGAGACUGAAUUGUGAGUUGCUGCUGCUGCCCUUGAACCCACUUCAGUCAAUGGAAAGUUUCAUUGGCACCUGAAUUUGUUGCUUUGGGUAGCUGCCUAGCUACCAGCUAAACCCAGCACAUAAUACUGUCAUCAGGGGAAGAGGAAUGUGCAGUCCAGCAAGCAAGACAUGCAUGGAAAAGUACGUUUCUCUCAGCAUGUUUUGCAAUCUCCAUGCUACUCCCUCCCCAUCUUCCUUUCCACUGAUCUCAUCUGUGAAGUCAAGAAGAAACUGUAGAAAGCAGCACUUGCAGGGCAAGAUCAUUUAACUGCCUGCUGAGUGCCCAAUGUCAGCUCAAGUUAGCUUUGAUAUUCUUAGUGGGGCCAUCCCAUUACCAGAAAGAGAUGUUCAGAUUUGUUUGUCACUCAUGGGAUCCAAAGGUACUUGAGGUUGUAUCAGUUCACACAGUGGAUUUGGGACUGGAGCUAUGGAGUUGCCUUCUGGUGGCGUGCAAUUUCUUGGGAAACAAGACUACAUGUUAUUUAAGUCCCAACACAGUGUUUCUGUUGUGUUCAGAGCACACAAAAUACUUGUUCUCCAUGCGUGAACUCCAGUCUCCAGUGGCACUGUGUAAGAACGCCCAAGCCUUCAACUCCCCCCCAAGAAAGCCAUUGUUCUUGCUCUUCUCACUGCAGCCCAGCUACGAGGAAAUGACAAGUUUCCCGUUUCUCAGAUAGGUCCAGGACCAUCUAAAAAUAACACCAGCUUCUUGAAUUAAUUAUGUCCCAGGUAAAAAUAAACCUGAAACACAAAAUGGAAUGCCCAUGCCCUUGUCCCUGAUGAGAUCUAUCAUUUCUUCUCCACCUCAUGGCAUGCCUCUCUUUUAAGUGAAACCCCAAAGCUUGCUGCCUUUCAGUAGAUCAGUAUGUCUGACGUGGCUGAUUAAACUCACUCUUCGACAUCCAGCUCAGUAAGUUUGAUCAUUAUUUGCACUUAGUAAAUAAGAUAAUUCAAUCAAUAAUUUUGUAAAUGAAAUAAAUGUUCUCAGCCUGUAAAGAGGAAAGGCGUUAGCAAAACAGACUCCAUGGAGGAAGAACUCUUUAAUUCAUGAAUGCACUUAAGUAACAGAUCCUCCACGCAGCCUCUUACAAGAGGAAGUCAGUGCUACUUAGCUGCUAUGAAACUUACAGACAACAGAGCGGUGGAUCACUGCUCCAUCCUUGCAGAACUGCCUUGCUGGAACAGAGAUCUGCCUGACAAAUCUCCCAGAGGACAGCAAAGCAGAGAAAGCGAAGCCCUGCCUAUUCGUUCACUCUUCCUGUUAUUAAU